rnacentral:rRNA from 1 species
CACGUAGGGUGCGAGCGUUGCCCGGAAUUAUUGGGCGUAAAGAGCUCGUAGGCGGCUUGUCACGUCGACUGUGAAAACCCGGGGCUCAACUCCGGGCCUGCAGUCGAUACGGGCUGGCUUGAGUGCGGUAGGGGAGACUGGAAUUCCUGGUGUAGCGGUGAAAUGCGCAGAUAUCAGGAGGAACACCGGUGGCGAAGGCGGGUCUCUGGGCCGAUACUGACGCUGAGGAGCGAAAGCGUGGGGAGCGAACAGG